rnacentral:rRNA from 1 species
CGUGUAGGUGGUUUGGUAAGUAGGGCGUGAAAGCUCCUGGCUCAACUGGGAGAGGCCGUUCUAAACUGCCGAACUAGAGGAUGGUAGAGGGAGGUGGAAUUCCGGGUGUAGCGGUGGAAUGCGCAGAUAUCCGGAGGAACACCAGUGGCGAAAGCGGCCUCCUGGACCACUCCUGACACUCAGACGCGAAAGCUAGGGUAGCAAACGG